CAGCCGCCGCGGGAAUACGUAGGGUGCAAGCGUUAAUCGGAAUUACUGGGCGUAAAGCGUGCGCAGGCGGUUUGUUAAGACAGAUGUGAAAUCCCCGGGCUCAACCUGGGAACUGCAUUUGUGACUGGCAGGCUAGAGUAUGGCAGAGGGGGGUGGAAUUCCGCGUGUAGCAGUGAAAUGCGUAGAUAUGCGGAGGAACACCGAUGGCGAAGGCAGCCCCCUGGGCCAAUACUGACGCUCAUGCACGAAAGCGUGGGGAGCAAACAGGAUUAGAUACCCGUGUAGUCCCUGUCUCUUAUAA
rnacentral:rRNA from 1 species